GCUCUGAUUAAGUUUGAUCCUGGCUCAGGACGAACGCUGGCGGCGUGCCUAACACAUGCAGUCGAACGGAACUUUGCGCUGAAAUUGAGAUUAGUUUACUAAAGGAUUUUUCUUGUAAAGUUAAAUGGGCGGACGGGUGAGUAACGCGUGAGGAACCUGCCUUACAGAGGGGGACAACAGUUGGGAACUAACUGCUAAUACCGCAUAACAUAUUAGAAGGACAUCCUUUUAAUAUCAAAGGAGCAAUCCGCUGUAAGAUGGCCUCGCGUCCGAUUAGAUAGUUGGCGGGGUAACGGCCCACCAAGUCUACGAUCGGUAGCCGGACUGAGAGGUUGAACGGCCACAUUGGGACUGAGACACGGCCCAGACUCCUACGGGAGGCAGCAGUGGGGGAUAUUGCACAAUGGGAGGAAACUCUGAUGCAGCAACGCCGCGUGAGGGAAGAAGGUUUUCGGAUUGUAAACCUCUGUUUUCAGUGACGAAACAAAUGACGGUAGCUGAGAGGAGCCACGGCUAACUACGUGCCAGCAGCCGCGUAUACGUACGUGGCAGCGUGUCCGGA
rnacentral:rRNA from 1 species